CUCUGAGACUAAGCCAUGCAUGUCUAAGUAUAAACAAAUUUGUACUGUAAAACUGCGGACGGCUCAUUAAAUCAGUUACAAUCUACUUGAUCGUAUAUUCAAAGAAUUAAUCGGGUAACCCUAGUAAUUCUAGAGCUAAUACGUGCAAAAAGCUCCGACCUCUUUUAACCGAGGGGAAAGAGUGUAUUUAUUAGGUAACUUAAAACCAAUCAGCCCAAAAGGCUGUUUUGUUGAUGAUUCAUAAUAACUUUGCAAAUCGCGGGCCAAUGUCUGCGAUGAUACAAACGAGUUUCUGACCUAUCAACUUUAGAUGGCAGGAUAGGGGCUUGCCAUGGUGACAACGGGUGACGGGGAAUUAGGGUUCGAUUCCGGAGAGGGAGCCUGAGAAACGGCUACCACUUCC
rnacentral:rRNA from 1 species